CUCCGGCUCAGGCUCCGGUGAACGCGUGAAUGUGACGGCUGUAGCCGGAUGCGCUCGUUCUUCUUUCCUUCGUCUUCCUUUUUACUUCUCCAUGGCCACUCGCUUCCGACAUAUCGCAGGUUCUGGUGUAGAGGUUCUAAUCGGUGGAGGCUCUGCUCGCGAAGGGCUCAUCGCCGGUGACGUCUCAGCUGCAAGCUUCGGUGAGGUUCGUGAAGAGGUGGUUCAUGGAGGAGCCGGCUUUUUGAGAUGGGAGUAGAUCGAUUUUCAGUUUUCAGAUCUACAAUUCCUCUCCGCCAUUGGCUUGAAGUGAAGGGCUGAAGCUCCGCUCCUGUCUCGUGGUGGUCUCCGCCGCUCUAGGGCUGUGGUUUCAGUCUUCUUCUCGGGUUUAGAGUUUGUGCCCCUUUCGGUGUCGGAGAGGUACAGCUCUGGUUCUCAUUAGUUAGGUGGUCUCUUAUGGUUUUCAACUCAGAGGCGGGUCUUCGACAGCUUGGUACGUAAGUGGUAUUGGUGCAGUGCUCUCCUUAGGCUCGUGUGGGUGAGGUUUGUAGAUGUAUCCUCCGUUCACCGGUGGAUUUCGAAGGUUUUCUAUGGCCUUUGGAGGCUGCGGGUCUUGCUUCUUGCUUCGUUAUCUCGGAUCUUUUUGUCAAGGCACUCGUCAUAGUCCUUCCGGGUGUUAAAAGGCCUCUUAUCACUUGGCUUGUACUCCUUGUUUCAUCGGCAUUUACUUGUCCGUUGACACCGGUACAUGGGUUUCACAACUUAGACUUUGAUCUUUGGUUCUCGGAGAUCACAAAUGUGGAGAUGGUUCUCGGGAGAGUCAUUGACCGUCUCCGUGUCAACAUUUGGUCUUAGUUCGCCUCCUGAACCCUAAGAGUUCGCUUGAUCUGUUAUGGUGGUGUUCUGGGUCUUUCCUUGUAGGUUUAGGAGUAUUCUGGGCAGGAUGUGGCAGUUAGGUCAUCUCGCUUUUUGUUUGGUUCGUGGCGGCAUUGAAGGUUGUCUAGCUGGUUUCUCGGACUUCUCGGUAAGGGUAACCUUCCUCUCUUGCUCGUCUAGCACUUCAUGGACAGUAACGUUUGUAAGCUUCGAGGUGUUCAUCGGUCGCUAGCUAUUCCGGAGACGACAUAGGAAUUUCCGGCAUCCGAAGCAACGAGGAGAAUUUCACUUGGUCAUCGUUGAUGGUUGAGAACGGCGACCGAUUCCUAAAGAUAAUAAAAACGAUCUAGCGAAAUGUGCUUGGUUUAAUGGGUGGACGAAACUAGGUUGUAAUACUUAGAAUUGAGAAAUUUUGUUCAAAUCGAGGUUGUAAACAAAUCUGAAUCCCCG
rnacentral:lncRNA from 1 species